CCCCCCUUCGUUAAGUUCCGCCACCACUUCGGCAACUUCCGCCGGUUCGGUCGGAAAUGGCCGAAGACGUGCGAGACCCAGCGGUUUAAGGGGAGAAGACCGGCCGGCUUCUCGGAACAAACCAACUGUGUCCGGCCCGGAGGGGGGGGAGCAGGGGAGGGCGGACGGAGCGGGAAGACAAGGCAGCGGCUAUGGCUCCCCCCCCAGCCCCUCGCGGCUCCGCCGGGAGGGCGAAGUGAGGGCGCCGAGAGGCUCCAGACAGAUGAGUAGGGAGCUGGCUACAGAAGAGGAACAGAUUCCAGUUUUCCAGCUGGUCACCCUGUACAGAGAAAACCCCUCGAGAUCAAAGCUGGGAGAAAGAAGACAAGUGGUGGAGGAGUCAAUGUGUGACAUGGAACAGGUCUGAGCCGAGGAGCUGAGGGACAGUGCUGGUCAGAGAGACUUGGCAGCAGAAACUGUCUAUCCAAGCCUGCAGAGAUAAAGCACAGCAGCCACUGACACUCCCUGACGUCCUUCUCCGUUUGUCGGGAGGGAGCCGACAGGACACAGGUGGGUUCAUUCUCCACGGAAAAGGCCAUCAAAGCAGGACUUUGUGGGGGUGACACAGCAGCAGUAGCACUGCAGAGCC
rnacentral:lncRNA from 1 species